rnacentral:rRNA from 1 species
AUGUCAUUUGGUCUGACUAACGCACCUGCCUAUUUUAUGAACAAGAUGAACAAAGUGUUUAUGGAGUUUUUGGAUAAGUUCGUCAUAGUGUUCAUUGAUGAUAUUCUGGUUUACUCGAAGAAUGAAGAGGAACAUAAGGAGCAUUUGCGUUUGGUACUUGGAAAGCUCAGAGAACAUCAAUUAUAUGCCAAGUUCAGCAAAUGUGAGUUUUGGUUGAAGGAAGUAGGAUUCCUCGGACAUGUUAUAUCUGGAGAAGGUAUAGCAGUAGAUCCCACUAAAGUUGAAACCGUGACCAAGUGGGAAGCCCCAACAACAGUUGGAGAGAUCCGGAGUUUUCUUGGACUCGCAGGAUACUACCGGAGAUUUAUUGAGAAUUUCUCAAAGAUUGCGAAGCCUAUGACGGAGUUAUUAAAGAAAGAUACAAAGUUCAUAUGGACAAAGGAAUGUGAGGCUAGUUUCCAAGAGUUGAAGAAACGUUUGGUUAGCUCACCAGUAUUGAUUUUGCCAGACCAGACCAAGGAUUAUGAGCUGUAUUGCGACGCUUCACGUCGAGGACUUGGAGCAGUGCUUAUGCAGGAAGGGAGAGUUGUUUCAUAUGCCUCAAGACAACUGAAGCAUCAUGAGUUGAAUUAUGCCACACAUGAUUUGGAGUUAGCAGCCGUAGUGCAUGCUUUGAAAACAUGGAGACAUUUCCUCAUUGGAAAUCAUUGUGAGAUGUACACGGAUCAUAAGAGUUUGAAGUACAUUUUCACAUAG